rnacentral:rRNA from 1 species
AACGAACGCUGGCGGCAUGCCUAACACAUGCAAGUCGAACGAAGCCUUCGGGCUUAGUGGCGCACGGGUGCGUAACGCGUGGGAAUCUGCCCUUUGGUUCGGAAUAACAGUUGGAAACGACUGCUAAUACCGGAUGAUGACGAAAGUCCAAAGAUUUAUCGCCAGAGGAUGAGCCCGCGUAGGAUUAGCUAGUUGGUGUGGUAAAGGCGCGCCAAGGCGACGAUCCUUAGCUGGUCUGAGAGGAUGAUCAGCCACACUGGGACUGAGACACGGCCCAGACUCCUACGGGAGGCAGCAGUGGGGAAUAUUGGACAAUGGGCGAAAGCCUGAUCCAGCAAUGCCGCGUGAGUGAUGAAGGCCCUAGGGUUGUAUAGCUCUUUUACCCGGGAUGAUAAUGACAGUACCGGGAGAAUAAGCCCCGGCUAACUCCGUGCCAGCCGCCGCGGUAA